GAGAACAACAUAGGAACCUAAGUCACAAGUUCACGUUCAAGCCUCCCCGAGGUUGCUGAUCUACAGUAGUUUAGGUAAGGUCAAAUAGAAUUAUCCUUGUGAUAAUGGGGAGUCCCUUAAGCUGAUCUACAGUAGUUUAGGUAAGGUCAAAUAGAAUUAUCCUUGUGAUAAUGGGGAGUCCCUUAAGCUGAUCUACAGUAGUUUAGGUAAGGUCAAAUAGAAUUAUCCUUGUGAUAAUGGGGAGUCCCUUAAGCUGAUCUACAGUAGUUUAGGUAAGGUCAAAUAGAAUUAUCCUUGUGAUAAUGGGGAGUCCCUUAAGCUGAUCUACAGUAGUUUAGGUAAGGUCAAAUAGAAUUAUCCUUGUGAUAAUGGGGAGUCCCUUAAGCUGAUCUACAGUAGUUUAGGUAAGGUCAAAUAGAAUUAUCCUUGUGAUAAUGGGGAGUCCCUUAAGCUGAUCUACAGUAGUUUAGGUAAGGUCAAAUAGAAUUAUCCUUGUGAUAAUGGGGAGUCCCUUAACUGUAGAGUAGACACUACGCUUUUACACUUGUAAGGAGGAUGAGUGUAGAAGUAGUUGCAAUGCGACGAUUAGGAGCAUUUUGUAUCUGAGUUGGACCUGUCCAACUCAUAUAGCAGUAGGGAGUAAGAUACCGGUCCUCCCUAAUUGUUCAGUUAUCUCUCAUGUUUUUAUAAAAUCCAUGCAGACAUCCGAAUCCAUGUUUGGAAGCUGGAUGGUUCCCCUAAAUAUAAAAAGUAAUACAGAUACUCGGGGUGAAAAAUACUUAAAAAUUUUAGAAGAAGAUUAGCUGAGAAUAUGGAACAUGUUUGUCCUCAGAAGGUAUGAUUUAUG
rnacentral:lncRNA from 1 species